UACGAAGGGAGCUAGCGUUGUUCGGAAUCACUGGGCGUAAAGCGCACGUAGGCGGAUGUGUCAGUCAGGGGUGAAAUCCCGGAGCUCAACUCCGGAACUGCCCUUGAAACUGCAGUGCUAGAAUCUUGGAGAGGCGAGUGGAAUUCCGAGUGUAGAGGUGAAAUUCGUAGAUAUUCGGAAGAACACCAGUGGCGAAGGCGACUCGCUGGACAAGUAUUGACGCUGAGGUGCGAAAGCGUGGGGAGCAAACAGG
rnacentral:rRNA from 1 species